CAUGGAAGCCUUUGACAUUCCAAGACCUUCAAACAAAUCCACUGGGAGGGGAACACAAUGAUUCCGGUCCCUGUAGAGCUUUCCACACCAAGCUGUUAAGCAGUACCUGUCGACUUACCGGUAGAACAGAAAUGCCACAGAAACGCCUGCCCCUUUGGCUCCUUGCCACCUCCCAGGGCCCAGGACCUUCCCAGCACAGGCGUUUGUGAAAUUUUCUGGAUUGCUGCUGGGAUCUUUCCAUGCUUGAUAUGGAUUUAUUCUUUUGCAUGUAUUUACUGUUAUUUCAAUAAGAUUUGGGAAGAAGGAGAGGUAAAGUAGGCCCAAGGUACCCUUUUGACCUUCAGCAUUUAUUUUGAAAAUUUUGAAAUGAACAAAUAUUUCUUCAGUGAAUAACCAGGAGACCUUCUGGUUCAGAUAAAAGAAUACUUUCACCGGGACUACCUUGACAAGUUCAUGUGUCCACGAGAUGAAAAUAGAGAAAAAAGUACAGGAACAAGUUCCAGCGAUGAGAAGAAGAAUGACAGAAGCAUUCCAUAAUUUAUCUUAAGGCAGCAAUAAUUUGUGUGUCUGGAGACACGCUUUGCAGGGAAAAGAAUCAAGACUCACUGAGGACUGUGGUGGCCCCCUAAACCCGGAAAACUCCUAUUCAUCCUUCAGGACCCAGCCAGUGCCUCCUUCUUACGCAGGCCUCAGAAGAGGAGGUCGCUUCUGUUGCAUUUCCCCAGCCUCCGGUCUGGAAGGAGAAACACAAUUCAGCAAAGCUCCCUUCUCCGGCUCUGGCCCCACCUGUCACUAGGGGAGCCUCAGCCAUCCGACCUUCCACCGCUUCCUUCUGUAGUUUUCCUGAAAGUCUCCAGAAGGUGUCAUCUGUGUGCUCUCCUGUGGGCAGCUGUUUAUCUCCCGCAUGGCAUUUGUCAGUGCCCUUCUCCGCGGAGGGGGAGCAGGCUGCGGGGUCCCCCCACCCCCAGCCGGGGGGGGGGGUGCCAGUGGUGUAACUGAGGCCACAGCACAGCGCCGCCUCCCGCUGCUGCGUGCUGAAAGCCGUGCUUGCUUUCCCUCAAUCACGUGGUCUGGCUCCCAGAUCCGUGCUGCAGAACAACUCCGAAAUGGGGACAAUGAGAGUCUAAGAAUACAGACGGGCUAUGAAUAGCUCCCGCUCACCACGCCUUUCCUGUGCACGAGGAAGGGCGCUAUAAACCCUUCUGUGGAAUCCACGUUGUAAUCCCCGCGCUGAACCCUGGAUUGUUGCUAGUGAGGACCGCAACCCCCAGAGGUUCAGGGAGAUUCAGUAGCUUGCUUCGGUGUUCACAGCUGGUAACGGGCGGCUAGGAGUUUAAACCCGGGUCAGCUUGGCUCCAGAGUCCAGAACCUUCAUGUCCCUGCCUUGGUAUGCACACCAGCUCCCAUGAGACGGAGUGAUGCCCUCCUCAAUGCUUCCCAGUUCCCUUGGCAGUCCAUUGGCUGGAAGGCUCUCUUACCCCACAGCAGCGCCUGGCUCUUAGUACAAGUUCAACAACGAUUAAAUGAGUGAAGAAAUAAAUAACUAGAGUCUUAGUCUCACCUGACACUCCCACCCCCAACUGAUGGGCCUGGGGAAGGUCUCCAUAUCUAUCCUUCCUCAACUUUCACCAAUCAGGGCAAUAAUAUUGCUUGGAUGGGGUUCUUAUAAAGCAGGCUCAGACGCCAACGCCUAGGAAACAGAGCUCCAGUCUCAAAGGGGUCAAUGGCAACAACGUAUCAGCCUCACUGGGUUUGGCCCCCCACCUGCUCACACAGGCCUCAGUCCUCUGCAGAGCCCUGCCCAGUCCUUUUGGGAAUCCUGGGAGAAUAUGUCACGUGUGCCAGCAGUGGUCACCAUGCAGUAUCUUCCGCUUCCCUCCUUUCCCUCUCAAGGCCCUCGCGAUGAUGUCCUCUCUGGGCAGGGCCCCCUAGGCCACCUCACCCUGCACCUGCACCCACCACAGGACUAUUGUCCACCAUGUUCAGGGCCAUCUCCUCUGAGAGUGGCCAGCCCUCACGGUGCCAGAGCCACUCUGUGUCCUGCUUAGACGUGAAAGGGCUGCUACCCUGAUCCGUGUCACACAUUCCAUCCUCUGGGGCUUGACCAGGUGAUGAUAUGAGUGCCCCAUGACUUACCAGGUCCUUUAGAAAUCCUCUCCUCCAGGGGCGCCUGGGUAACACAGUCGGUUGAGCGUCCGACUUCGGCUCAGGUCAUGAUCUCACGGUUUGUGAGUUCGAGCCCCGCAUCGGGCUCUGUGCUGAUGGCUCGGAACCUGGAGCCUGCUUCGGAUUCUGUGUUUCCCACUCUCUCUGCCCUUCCGCCGCUCACACUCUGACUCUGUCUCUCUCUCAAAAUAAAUAAAUAAAUAAACACUAAAACAUUUUUUAAAAGACAGAAAGAAAUCCUCUCCUCCAGCUUCACAUGGCAGCCCAUCCCCACAGUGCCCAGACGCAUGCGUGGAACCGGGGGGUAUGUGUGCACGCGCGUGCACUCUUGGGACUCCAUGCUGUCCCCCACCCCACCCCCUGCCUUGUUCCCCACGCUACACGCCAGGCUGCUCCUUAGACUUCUUUCCCCAUGACGCUAAUCAAACCCUGAGUAUAGCUGUUUGCUAGUCUUGGUUCCUCACCCUCCUCCCCACUCAUCAGGCAAAUCCAGCCACAUAUGGAUUCAUUUUAAGGAUUAUGUGGGACCCCCCCCCCACUCCCCACCAUCCCUUAGCUACAGACUUAAGAAGACCAGCUCCUCAGUCCAGACGUCAGGUGAGCCAGCCUACUGGGGGAGGUGAAGGGUGGAUUGAGCUUUAUCAACAAGUCUGGCAUUUCCAGAUUUAAGGCUUGGAUUUACUAUGAAGCUGAUGAGGGCUUAGGUUUCAGGACCUCCCUCCCCGAUUUGCAUGAGAGAGGCCCCGGUGCUCGUGUGUCUUUAUAAAAUUGGCAAAAGUAUGCUAUUUUAAGGCAGUCGGUUAAUUGCUGGUUCUUUUUCCUUCCCCUCUUCCCUCCUGCACCUCCCUUCCUGUCAGGUGACAUUAGAGUGGCCAUGGACAUCUUGGAGGGUCUGGGUAAAAGGCUAUUAGGCUGGGGAUACAGGAGUUCGGUUUCCUUGGGUUAUGUUAGCAUGGUCUGUCGCCAUCCCCCUGCGUGGCUGGGUUACUGCAAACCCUCCCAGUGUAGGAAAGGCAGAGAUACUCCUGCUACCGAAGGGGGAGACUUGCCUCACAUCACGGCCCAAAGAUGUAGUCUCAGAGUCAUCUCUCACUGUGACUGUGUCCCAAGGCACCUGGCGCUGGUAGUCGGAGACAGCAAAGUAGAGGCAGGAUAGCAACGUGUGGAGCCAGAAGCUAUGCUGUGGAAAGUUCUUCCCACCAUCACGUGCCCAAAAUUGUACGUGGAAGAUUCCGGUACCACAUGGAGGCCUAAUUAAAACUAUUACCCCCAAAUACCAAAAACCAAAAAGCGAAUGUUGAUCAGUCACUGCUGGAAGAAAGACUGAAUUACCUCUCCUCCCCGUAUAUAGAAAAAAAUAGUUCAUAAUCAUCACCUAAAGAAGUAAGACAUCCAAAAGAAAUGCAAACGAAAGCAUAGGAAAAAAAAACCAGUAGUACGGAGGCGUGUCAGAAAGUUCAUUGAUAUGACUACCGUGGGUAUCUUUUUGGAUUUUGUAAUAUUUGGGUACUGGAUGACUUUUGAAAACUUUUGUAACAUCUUGUGAUUUCUUUUCUCCUUCUAAAUAAAAAUUCACACUUGCAAC